UUCCCUAGUACGGCGAGUGAAGCGGGAAGAGCUCAAAUUUGAAAUCUGGUGGCCUCAGGUCAUCCGAGUUGUAAUCUAUAGAAGUGUUUUCCGUGCUGGCUCAUGUACAAGUCCCUUGGAACAGGGCGUCAUAGAGGGUGAGAAUCCCGUCCUUGACAUGAACUACCAGUGCUCUGUGAUACAUUUUCAACGAGUCGAGUUGUUUGGGAAUGCAGCUCAAAAUGGGUGGUAAAUUCCAUCUAAAGCUAAAUAUUGGCGAGAGACCGAUAGCGAACAAGUACCGUGAGGGAAAGAUGAAAAGCACUUUGGAAAGAGAGUUAAACAGUAUGUGAAAUUGUUGAAAGGGAAACGAUUGAAGUCAGUCGUGCUCUUUGGAUUCAGCCGGUUCUGCCGGUGUACUUCCUUUGAGUGGGGUCAACAUCAGUUUUGAUCGCUGGAUAAAGGCUGGAGGAACGUAGUACCCUCGGGUAAACUUAUAGCCUCCUGUCACAUACAGUGGUUGGGACUGAGGAACGCAGCACGCCUUUAUGGCCGGGAUUCGUCCACGUACGUGCUUAGGAUGUUGACAUAAUGGCUUUAAACGACCCGUCUUGAACCACGGGACCAU
rnacentral:rRNA from 1 species